rnacentral:rRNA from 1 species
GAUGAACGCUGGCGGCGUGCCUAAUACAUGCAAGUCGAACGCAUUGAGAGAAGUGCUUGCACUUUUCAAUUUGAGUGGCGAACGGGUGAGUAACACGUGGGCAACCUACCUGAUAGCGGGGGAUAACGAGUGGAAACAUUCGCUAAUACCGCAUAACAAUAGAGAAGGCAUCUUCUUUAUUUAAAAGGCGCUUUCAAGCGUCACUAUCAGAUGGGCCCGCGGUGCAUUAGUUAGUUGGUGGGGUGAAGGCCUACCAAGACGAUGAUGCAUAGACGAGUCGAGAGACGUAUCGGCCCAAUUGGGACUGAGACACGGCCCAAACUCCUACGGGAGGCUGCAGUAGGUAAUCUUCCACAAUGGACGAAAGUCUGAUGGAGCAACGCAGCGUGUGUGAUGAAGGCUUUCGGGUCGUAAAGCACUGUUGUAUGGGAAGAAAUGCUAGGCUAGGAAAUGAGCUUAGUUUGACGGUACCAUACCAGAAAGGGACGGCUAAAUACGUGCCAGCCGCCGCCGUAA